GUUAGUCCUAGCAGUAAACGAUGGCUACUAGGUGUGGGGGGUGUUGACCCCUCCUGUGCCGAAGCUAACGCAUUAAGUAGCCCGCCUGGGGAGUACGGUCGCAAGACUAAAACUCAAAGGAAUUGACGGGGACCCGCACAAGCAGCGGAGCGUGUGGUUUAAUUCGAUGCAACGCGAAGAACCUUACCUGGGCUUGACAUACACUCGCAACACCUCGAAAGGGGUGCCUCCUUCGGGACGGGUGUACAGAUGCUGCAUGGCUGUCGUCAGCUCGUGUCGUGAGAUGUUGGGUUAAG
rnacentral:rRNA from 1 species